UACGUAGGUUGCGCGCGUUGUCCGGAUUUACUGGGCGUAAAGCGCGCGCAGGCGGUUUCGAAAGUCCACGGUGAAAGCCCAGGGCUCAACCCUGGAAUUGCCUUUGAAACUGGUGAGCUUGAGUACGGGAGAGGUGAGUGGAAUUCCGAGUGUAGAGGUGAAAGUCGUAGAUAGUCGGAAGAACACCAGUGGCGAAGGCGGCUCACUGGCCCGUAUCUGACGCUCAGGCGCGACAGCGUGGGGAGCAAACAGG
rnacentral:rRNA from 1 species